rnacentral:rRNA from 1 species
UGGGGAAUUUUGGACAAUGGGCGAAAGCCUGAUCCAGCAAUGCCGCGUGUGUGAAGAAGGCCUUCGGGUUGUAAAGCACUUUUGUCCGGAAAGAAAUCCUUGGCUCUAAUACAGUCGGGGGAUGACGGUACCGGAAGAAUAAGCACCGGCUAACUACGUGCCAGCAGCCGCGGUAAUACGUAGGGUGCAAGCGUUAAUCGGAAUUACUGGGCGUAAAGCGUGCGCAGGCGGUUUGCUAAGACCGAUGUGAAAUCCCCGGGCUCAACCUGGGAACUGCAUUGGUGACUGGCAGGCUAGAGUAUGGCAGAGGGGGGUAGAAUUCCACGUGUAGCAGUGAAAUGCGUAGAGAUGUGGAGGAAUACCGAUGGCGAAGGCAGCCCCCUGGGCCAAAUACUGACGCUCAUGCACGAAAGCGUGGGGAGCAAAACAGGAUUAGAUACCCUGGUAGUCCACGCCCUAAAACGAUGUCAACUAGUUGUUGGGGAUUCAUUUCCUUAGUAACGUAGCUAACGCGUGAAGUUGACCGCCUGGGGAGUACGGUCGCAAGAUUAAAACUUAAAUGAAUUGACGGGGUCAUAGCUGUUU